AUCUGAUAGUGAAUUUAACUCUCUUUCAUUUCUGGCGAAAUUAAAGAGAUCUGUGACCAAAAGUGGUCAAGCACUGGAGUCCGAGGUUUUCAAUGUGAGUUUAAUAAUACAACUUGUCUUUUAACUUAGGUGGCCUGCCAUGGGUAUCCAUGGUGACAAGAGUCAACAAGAGCGUGACUGGGUUCUAAAUGAAUUCAAACAUGGAAAAGCUCCUAUUCUGAUUGCUACAGAUGUGGCCUCCAGAGGGCUAGAUGUGGAAGAUGUGAAAUUUGUCAUCAAUUAUGACUACCCUAACUCCUCAGAGGAUUAUAUUCAUCGAAUUGGAAGAACUGCUCGCAGUACCAAAACAGGCACAGCAUACACUUUCUUUACACCUAAUAACAUAAAGCAAGUGAGCGACCUUAUCUCUGUGCUUCGUGAAGCUAAUCAAGCAAUUAAUCCCAAGUUGCUUCAGUUGGUCGAAGACAGAGGUUCAGGUCGUUCCAGGGGUAGAGGAGGCAUGAAGGAUGACCGUCGGGACAGAUACUCUGCGGGCAAAAGGGGUGGAUUUAAUACCUUUAGAGACAGGGAAAAUUAUGACAGAGGUUACUCUAGCCUGCUUAAAAGAGAUUUUGGGGCAAAAACUCAGAAUGGUGUUUACAGUGCUGCAAAUUACACCAAUGGGAGCUU
rnacentral:sRNA from 1 species